AAAUUUUGCUGCUGGUAUGAGUGGCGGAAUUGCUUAUGUUUUUGAUGUGGAUGGGAAGUUUCAUACUCGAUGCAAUACCGAGCUUGUAGAUCUAGACAAAGUUGAAGAGGAAACUGAUAUUAUGACAUUGAGAAUGAUGAUUCAACAACACCAACGUCAUACGGGUAGUAAAUUAGCAAGAGACGUCCUUGCUGAUUUUGACAAUAUUUUACCAAAAUUUAUUAAAGUAUUCCCACGCGAUUAUAAGAGGGUUCUGCAGAAUUUGAAGGA
rnacentral:misc_RNA from 1 species